rnacentral:rRNA from 1 species
ACGGAGGGUGCAAGCGUUAAUCGGAAUUACUGGGCGUAAAGCGCGCGUAGGCGGUUUGGUAAGUCAGAUGUGAAAGCCCUGGGCUCAACCUGGGAACUGCAUUUGAUACUGCCUGACUAGAGUGUGGUAGAGGGAAGUGGAAUUCCGGGUGUAGCGGUGAAAUGCGUAGAUAUCCGGAGGAACAUCAGUGGCGAAGGCGACUUCCUGGACCAACACUGACGCUGAGGUGCGAAAGCGUGGGUAGCAAACAGGAUUAGAUACCCUGGUAGUCCACGCCGUAAACGAUGUCAACUAGCUGUUGGGCUCAUUAUAAGGGUUUAGUGGCGAAGCUAACGCGAUAAGUUGACCGCCUGGGGAGUACGGCCGCAAGGUUA